CUACGGGUGGCUCCAGUGGGGAAUAUUGGACAAUGGGGAAAACCCUGAUCCAGCAAUGCCGCGUGUGUGAAGAAGGCCUGCGGGUUGUAAAGCACUUUCGGUUGGGAGGACUGCUUCUAGCACUAAUAUUGUUGGAAGUUGACGUUACCUUCAGAAGAAGCACCGGCUAACUCCGUGCCAGCAGCCGCGGUAAUACGGAGGGUGCAAGCGUUAAUCGGAAUUACUGGGCGUAAAGCGCGCGUAGGCGGCUAGAUCAGUCGGGUGUGAAAGCCCCGGGCUUAACCUGGGAACUGCAUCCGAUACUGUCUAGCUUGAGUACAGGAGAGGAGAGUGGAAUUCCACAUGUAGCGGUGAAAUGCGUAGAUAUGUGGAGGAACACCAAUGGCGAAGGCAGCUCUCUGGCCUGAUACUGACGCUGAGGUACGAAAGCGUGGGGAGCAAACAGGAUUAGAUACCCCCGUAGUC
rnacentral:rRNA from 1 species